UACGUAGGUGGCGAGCGUUGUCCGGAUUUACUGGGCGUAAAGGAUGCGUAGGCGGAUAUUUAAGUGAGAUGUGAAAUACCCGAGCUUAACUUGGGUGCUGCAUUUCAAACUGGAUAUCUAGAGUGUGGGAGAGGAGAAUGGAAUUCCUAGUGUAGCGGUGAAAUGCGUAGAUAUCUGGAAGAACACCAAUGGCGAAGGCAAUGUUCUGGCUCGUUUCUGACGCUCAGGUGCGAAAGCCAGGGGAGCGAACGGG
rnacentral:rRNA from 1 species